GACAUCAUUAUUUAAUAGAAUUCAAACUGGUUCGAAUUCCUAUUUCCGGCCCUUUAAAUUUAAAAGUAGGCGCGCGGAAAAGGCGCCUAAACAGCAGAGAGGAUCGGCUGGAGAAUUGACGGUUGAAAACUGCACAAAGUAAAGUCAAGAUCCUCCUGCUGUAAAAACCAGCAUUGACCAGCAUGAAUUCCCUUUCACUCACUGUUUCCCAACCUGCAGUCGGUUCAGCACGAAACAUCAGGCUCACAGCAACAGAUUAAGAAGAAUCCUGCAUCAAAAGAUGACUUCAACUUGCAUGUGAGACAGAGUGAGAAGAGAAAAAGAGGAAUGAAGAUGGACUGUCUAAGAAACCUGUUUUGUUCAUAACGGAACUUGCAUCUAUCUCCCACGAAUGUAGAAUGCUGAAGGCGAGCAGAAAUGAGAAAAGUUAUGCUACAGCUCUCUGUUUGCAGCACGUCAGUCACGCUCGUCGGGAAAGUGAGUGAAACACACACACAAACACACAUUUUUAUCAAAUAAUACGGCAUUAAUAGCGGUUCACUUCCACAACUUGGAGCGUUUGCAUUUAUAUCAGAAGCGAACUGUACCUGAGUUCACUUGAACCGCACCCCAGACCACCCUUUUUAAGCGGACUCGGGUACGGUUCGUGGGUGUCCGCAGUUACACACAGCACACAGUUACUCCUCGUGUUUGCUGGAUAAUGAUAUAAUGAUAUUAUAUUUAAUCCUCCAAAAUCACUGUGCAAUAAUGAGUGUGUUAAGUGAAUAAAUGUAAACUCUAUGAAUGAAAUGAGCGCAAAUCAAAUAGCUGUAUUGCUGUUGCCUCUCCAUGUGCCACAAAUCAGCUUGGAAAGAAUAAAUCAACUGAAAUACUUAGUGCUUUUUCCAGUUUAACGCAUUAAAAUAUUUAACACAGUUAAUGCAGCAUACGUUUUUUUUGUUUUGUUUGUUUCAUCCUUUGGCUAGCAUUACAAUAUAUGAUUACGCUCUUAUUUCUGCGAAUGCUUUUAAACCAUUUAAGCGCACCAAAAGAGAAAAAGAGAACGCACUGUCUGUGAAUGUCCUGUCACACACACAACGCACAGAAAGACAUGCACCAGUAUAGUGAGCAUGGACGGCCCACCAGUAUCGAGUUCUCUGUCAUGCUUGAAGAAACAAUAACACACACGAUAAUGUCAAAAAUGUCAGUUUUGUUAAAUAUCACCAAUGGAGCAGCCUUAAAUGAGUUAAAGUCCCCAUGAACCGGAAGUGCAAACGUCUUUUCUCCAGUGUUGUGACAUAUUUCCAAGCGAAACAGAAUAUUGAAUAGAGGGCAGAGUUUUAAUUUAACGCUCCUCCUCUCCGUCUCUCGCUCAUAGCAGACUGAGGGUUGGGGGGGGAGUGGUUUUAUUUUAUCAGAGAAGGAACACCAUUUCAGACCAGAAGUAACAUUUCAGAUUUUGAUUAAAGAUUACCACGACAAACAAUUUUUUUCGGUGUAUUAACUUGCACGGAUUAAUUGUUCACCACAAGACUAGUAAUAUGCACUAACAAAGUAAGUAAGGUCAAUUUUGAUUUUAUGACGUCUUGAAAUGAAGUCUUAAUUGAAAAGUAAAUGAGUUGUGAGAAAGUGGACAUCAGUAGCUGUAUUAAGACCCGGGUAUACUUCACUUUCCGCGGCCAGACGCAUCUCACGUGCAGUCUUGUCUGCGCAUCUUUCAAAGUAUACUCAACUACAGAUGUGCGUGGAUGACCGAGUUCAACACAUGCAGUACAAUUUAAUUCACGAAUCGUGCCAUCAACGGGACUUCGCUGGGUAGGAUCAGAGAAUAAAAAUAGUGCAUCCACCAUCCACCACACAGUCUUGAAAUUUGGCCUGCACACGGACGAUGUAUGCAGACGUCCGUGAGCCCUCCAGAUGACGAACAUUACGUCAUGCAGACAGUGCACGAAUGUGGCUUUAGUUUCAGUGAGACUGUCCUUAUUUCAUAAAAACAUGCCAUUAAAAAGUAUUUAAAAUAUACUCUUUAUGUUGUUUCUUUAUGUUGUUUUUAUUUUAGAGAUUAACUGUGACAUUAUUACAUAAUAAUAUGUAUUAUUAAAAACUUGACUAUAACAUUACAUUUAGAUCUAUUGCAUUAUAUUUAGAUAGUGGCAUGAAAGGUUGCAACUUUGAAUGAGCAUUGUAGCUGAUCACAGUCAUGUUGAGUGUAUGUAAGCAGUGAUCUC